rnacentral:lncRNA from 1 species
GGCACGCACUUGCCUCUGGCGGCGCAAGGCGGCGUCGACGGCGAGUUCGAGUCCGCGCAGUUCAGCGUCGGCAAUCGUGUCUGAUACGGCCAUAAUGACAGCAUCUGUGCCGCCGGUCACGCUGGCAAAGGCUUGGCCGUUGGCGACACUCUCGGGCGUCCAGCGGUUGAUGGGUGCAUUCAUGACGGGUAUGGGCGAGACGCGGUCGGGCGCUGGUGCCGAGACGCCCAGCGGGACGACAUCGACGACGCGCGACGUGCCCAACAGGCCGCGCAGACGCAACUGGAGGUCGUUUUCAGGCGCGUCGGCCAUGGUAAUGGCGCUGGGCUCUGCCUGGGCGUCGGUGACGCCACCACGAUCUUCGGCCUCGGCGAGCCACUCGUCAUAGGCCACGCCCAGACCGUAGAGGGCGCGCCAACGGCGCUCGGCCUGCUGGCGGCGCCACAGCAACAAUUGUGUGAGCGUGUCGUCGAGGCCGCCGGGGCCGAAAAAGGGCGCGGCCGCCGAAUCAAACUUGGCGGCAUAGGCCUCGAUCCAGCCGAGGCCGGGCGUGUCGCACAUCUGGCGGCGUCCCGACGACGACACGCAAUACUGUUCGAGCAGGUCAAACUGGCCGGCGUCAAAGAGGCCCUGGGCUUCAUGCCAGCGCGCCCAUGCAAUGGCAUCUCGGGGCGCCAGGGCGCGCGGCGGCGCACCCGGCUCGGCCGGCCCGACAAAGAGAUCGGCGGCUUCGGGAAAGAUGGUGGCGAGCAC